GUACAUUUUGGGACGUAUUUCUCUUUCUUGUUUUUAUAUUCAGAUUUAUCUUCUUAUUUUUAUUUGUAUCUGCAUUCUGCAGGCAGCAACUAAAAUUUCAAUAUGUCAGCUAAUCAAGCUUAGGCAACAAAUAACAAAAUUACAAGCUUGCUUACAGCAAAUGUCCCCAGCUAAGUAGACUGAAGAGGAAACUGAAGAGCUGACCAACCAGGUCCUAGAUGAAAUUGGAGUUGAUGUUGCCUCUCUAUUAUCAGUAUCGCCCAAAGGAAGAAUUGUUGGAAAGAUGACCGAGGAUGCUAAUAGGUAUCUUGUGUUAUAUUAUAAGUAAAUU